rnacentral:rRNA from 1 species
AAUGAACGCUGGCGGCAUGCCUAACACAUGCAAGUCGAACGAGACCUCCGGGAGUAGUGGCGCACGGGGGCGUCGCGCGGCGGAACGUGCCCGUAGGCAUGGAAUACCUCUCUGAAGGGGGUGCUAACACCGGAAAACGUAUGCGGACAAAGGAUAUAUCCUCUUUGGGUGGGCACGCGUUGGAUUAGCUUGUUGGUAGGGUAAAAGCCUACCAAGGCGACGAUCCAUAGCUGGUCUGAGAGGAUGAUCCGCCACACUGGGACUGAGACACGGCCCAGACUCCUACGGGAGGCAGCAGUGGGGAAUAUUGGACAAUGGGCGAAAGCCUGAUCCAGCAAUGCCGCGUGAGUGAUGAAGGCCUUAGGGUUGUAAAGCUCUUUUACCCGGGAUGAUAAUGACAGUACCGGGAGAAUAAGCUCCGGCUAACUCCGUG